GACGAACGCUGGCGGCGCGCCUAACACAUGCAAGUCGAACGAGCGAGUGGGGGUUUACUUUCUCCAGCGAGUUGCGAACGGGUGAGUAACGCGUGAGGAACCUGCCUCAAAGAGGGGGACAACAGUUGGAAACGACUGCUAAUACCGCAUAAGACCACUACCCUGCGUCGGGGCGAGGGAAAAAGAGCCAUCCGCUUUGGGAUGGCCUCGCGUCCGAUUAGCUAGUUGGUGAGGUAAUGGCCCACCAAGGCGACGAUUGGUAGCCGGACUGAGAGGAUGAACGGCCACACUGGGACUGAGACACGGCCCAGACUCCUACGGGAGGCAGCAGUGGGGAAUAUUGCACAAUGGGGGAAACCCUGAUGCAGCGACGCCGCGUGGAGGAAGAAGGUCUUCGGAUUGUAAACUCCUGUUGUCGAGGAAGAUAAUGACGGUACUCAAAAAGGAAGUGACGGCUAACUACGUG
rnacentral:rRNA from 1 species